AUGAUGAUGAUGAUGAUGAUGAUGAUGAUGAUAAUAAUAAUGAUAAUAAUAAUUAUUAUAAUAAUUAUAAUAAUAAAUGAGUGUAUUUACUAUUCAGCCUCCGACGUUCGUUUCGGGAAUUCCCGGAACAUCUCCGUCUAUUUCCGACUCGACCGUCAUCGCGACGUCACUUGGUGUAUUCACCGUUACCGACCCCGACACGACGUGCAGUAUUAUGUCACCUGUGACGUCAGUGUAUGAGAUCAGACCCUUGAUGUCACCGGCAGAUCCUCAAAAGCCGGGAAUUUAAAGCUGGUUCGGUGGCUGUGCGACGCCAUUGGGGAAGUUCACAACUACGGACCCGGAUACGACAUGUUCUGUGACGUCACCUGUGACAACAGUCUAUGAGAUCAGAAAAAUUGUGUCACCGACCGAUCCCUAGAAACCGAAGUUCGAAGUGUGGAUCAGUAACGCCGUUACCCAGGCGUCUAUCGACUUCAAUGACCAGGCUGUUCCGCUGCCGCUAACAAUCAAGUGCACAGACGGAAACGUUGUCAAUGACAUCACGGGGACGUUUAACGUCAACAUCGUCGACUCGCCGCCGGUUUUCACUGCACUGCCUGCUACCGGAUCUAACAUUUUCGACGGUCUCAAACACGCCACCGAAACCCUUCACACAUUCAGCGUCACCGAUAGCGAUGACACCGUUUCAUGCUCUGCAAGAGCGCCGGAAAACGCCCUUUUUGAAGUGGUCGCCGGCGUGGCACCAAGAUUUACAGUUAACGUACAGCGAACGGACCUUACGUCAUCAACGUCGACUGCUCAGAUGGCGACAAUGACGUCACUGCGACGUUCACACAACCAGUGAUCGAUACGCCGCCGACCUUUGUAUCCAACGUAUCUGAUGCCACUGUCAUGCAGACGUUACUCGGGAAGUUUACAACUACAGACCCAGAUACGGCGCGCUCUGUGACGUCACCAUCCACCACCGUGUAUGAGAUCAGAAAUGUGACGUCACAGGUGAAUGUUUCUCAGCCAGGAAAUCCUCCAGUUAGGAUAAGAAGUUUAUUGCGGCUGAUGUUGACACAUAUCUCUAUGAGGUUGGGGGAAACAUUGGUGAACGCUGCCUGCCGGACAACACGAACAUGUUUGCUCUGUACAAGGUCAAGGAACACAGACAACGCAUGAAAGCCGAUUAACCGCGUCUUAAAAUUGUUCGACAGAGACUGAAAUUUUGCUGGCAGAGAGAAUGGGCAAAACCUCGUAGUUAGCUGUUCUGACAAAAGCCCUCCAUCCCAUUUCUGCGUAUAGCUCUCAUUUCAAUUUAGAGCUCCAAUAACUAUUUUGAGCUCCCAUUUCUAUUUAGAGCUCACUUGUGUUUUUAGAGCCCUAAUGUCUGUUUAGAGCUUUAAUUUAUAUGUAUUGCUCCCAUUACUAUUUAAAGCUUUUUUGUUAUUGUAUGUUUUCUGCAAAGUAUUAUACAUGUAUUAUAAUUACUGAUGCUGGCCCUUUUGACCCAUAUCCGACAGUGUUGUCUCAUUACAUUUAAUGUUAUGUGCAUCACAAAUGUUGCGCUAAGUUAUUUCGUGUGUUUGUAUACUAGAUGACUAUUAGAAAUAUGUACUAUAAUAGUAAAUAUGGCUAUACACAUGUUAUUAAAUACGUCUGAAGAUGAAA